UACAGCGAUGGUGAUUUCGUUUCAUUUCCAUACAGCUAAAUGGUAAAUGGCCUUUUAAACUUUUUAAUCAUCUCCCUGAGAGUGACAUGACAAAUGACAUGACACUGACAUCACCGGUCGUUGCAUUACAUACCAGACUCUCCAAGCCUUUCACAAUUUGUAGAGAAUCGAACAGUGAUAUCGCAAGGAAUAUCAUUGUAUUGUAGUGACCUGGAAAACGAGUUGUCUUUGAGGGGAUACCAAGCUAUCCAUGGCAGGGCUGGACGUCUGCAGAGAUCCUUGCCGGAAGAUCACCUGCAUGGUGUUGUGCCCAGGCUCCUACUGAUGUUCUAUAUGGAGAGGGAUAGUUCUAAGUCUACGCGAGAAAAGAAUUGUGGAACCUUAAAUAACUGUAGAGAACCAAAAGGGUCCGACAUCUGUGCAUACUGACAGAGGAGUGCGGUCUGGCACUGUGGAAUCAAACCUUAUGAUCUGUACUCUACCAAUGGUGAUGGUAGUAAAAACAGAAAAAAUAAAGUAAAUAAGUGAGGAUGAUGGAAGGAGAUAUCCAGAGUGCAGUGACAGAUAGAUAUCCCUACGAGCCACCGACCAUCCACUCGACUUGUCCUUUCUCACAAGCGGAGACCCAGGAAAUGCUGGUCAAAGGCCUCAAAUCAAGCUAAGGA
rnacentral:lncRNA from 1 species